rnacentral:rRNA from 1 species
GACGAACGCUGGCGGCGUGCUUAACACAUGCAAGUCGAACGGAAAGGCCCUGCUUUUGUGGGGUGCUCGAGUGGCGAACGGGUGAGUAACACGUGAGUAACCUGCCCUGGACUUUGGGAUAACUUCAGGAAACUGGGGCUAAUACCGGAUAGGAGCUCCUGCUGCAUGGUGUGGUUUGGAAAGUUUCGGCGGUUGGGGAUGGACUCGCGGCUUAUCAGCUUGUUGGUGGGGUAGUGGUUUACCCAGGCUUUGACGGGUAGCCGGCCUGAGAGGGUGACCGGCCACAUUGGGACUGAGAUACGGCCCAGACUCCUACGGGAGGCAGCAGUGGGGAAUAUUGCACAAUGGGCGGAAGCCUGAUGCAGCAACGCCGCGUGCGAGAUGACUGCCUUCGGGUUGUAAACCGCUUUCGCCUGUGACGAAGCGUGAGUGACGGUAAUGGGUAAAGAAGCACCGGCUAACUACGUG